rnacentral:rRNA from 1 species
UACGUAGGGGGCAAGCGUUGUCCGGAAUCAUUGGGCGUAAAGCGCGUGUAGGCGGUCCGGUAAGUCUGCUGUGAAAAGUCGGGGGGCUCAACCCUCGGAUGCCGGUGGAUACUGUCGGGCUUGAGUACGGAAGAGGCGAGUGGAAUUCCUGGUGUAGCGGUGAAAUGCGCAGAUAUCAGGAGGAACACCAAUUGCGAAGGCAGCUCGCUGGGACGUUACUGACGCUGAGACGCGAAAGCGUGGGGAGCAAACAGG